rnacentral:rRNA from 1 species
ACGAACGCUGGCGGCGUGCUUAACACAUGCAAGUCGAACGGAAAGGCCCCCUUGUGGGGUACUCGAGUGGCGAACGGGUGAGUAACACGUGAGUAACCUACCCUUGACUUUGGGAUAACUUCAGGAAACUGGGGCUAAUACCGGAUAGGAGCUCCUGCUGCAUGGUGGGGGUUGGAAAGUUUCGGCGGUUGGGGAUGGGCUCGCGGCUUAUCAGCUUGUUGGUGGGGUAGUGGCUCACCAAGGCUUUGACGGGUAGCCGGCCUGAGAGGGUGACCGGCCACAUUGGGACUGAGAUACGGCCCAGACUCCUACGGGAGGCAGCAGUGGGGAAUAUUGCACAAUGGGCGGAAGCCUGAUGCAGCAACGCCGCGUGCGGGAUGACGGCCUUCGGGUUGUAAACCGCUUUCGCCUGUGACGAAGCGUUAGUGACGGUAAUGGGUAAAGAAGCACCGGCUAACUACGUG